rnacentral:rRNA from 1 species
AUUGAACGCUGGCGGCAUGCCUAACACAUGCAAGUCGAACGGCAGCACAGCAGUAGCAAUACUGUGGGUGGCGAGUGGCGGACGGGUGAGGAAUACGUCGGAAUCUGCCCAGUCGUGGGGGGAUAACUAGCCGAAAGGUUAGCUAAUACCGCAUACGACCGAGAGGUGAAAGCGGGGGGACCGCAAGGCCUCGCGCGAUUGGAUGAGCCGACGUCGGAUUAGCUAGUUGGCGGGGUAAAGGCCCACCAAGGCGACGAUCCGUAGCUGGUCUGAGAGGAUGAUCAGCCACACUGGAACUGAGACACGGUCCAGACUCCUACGGGAGGCAGCAGUGGGGAAUAUUGGACAAUGGGCGCAAGCCUGAUCCAGCAAUGCCGCGUGUGUGAAGGAGGCCUCGGGUUGUAAAGCACUUUAUCAGGAACGAAAGACGUUGGAUUAAUACUCUGACGUGCUGACGGUACCUGAGGAAUAAGCACCGGCUAA